rnacentral:tRNA from 1 species
AAGGAAUUAGUUAAUUCAUAACACUACCUUGUCAAGGUCGAAUAAUGAGCUAAAACCCUCGUAUUUCUUA